rnacentral:misc_RNA from 1 species
GAAAUGCGAUAAGUAAUGUGAAUUGCAGAAUUCAGUGAAUCAUCGAAUCUUUGAACGCACAUUGCGCCCGCCAGUAUUCUGGCGGGCAUGCCUGUUCGAGCGUCAUUUCAACUAUCAAGCCCCGCGCUUGUGUUGGGGACCUGCGGCUGCCGCAGGCCCUGAAAACCAGUGGCGGGCUCGCUGUCACACCGGGCGUAGUAGAUUUUAUCUCGCUCAGGGCGUGCUGCGGGUUCCGGCCGUUAAAAAGCCUUUUUUACCCAAGGUUGACCUCGGAUCAGGUAGGAAGACCCGCUGAACUUAAGC